CCCCUCUCAGGGUCACACCUGGAGAGUUUCCAGUACUCUACCAGUCUCGUAUAAGGGAGGGAGAGUCAAGUAGAGGCAGGCCUGCCCAUUCCAUUCCUAGCCUGACCUGUGGCUAGCAAGUGGAAGGCAAUCUUCUACAAGU